rnacentral:rRNA from 1 species
AACGGGAUUCCCGAUCGUCCUUCGGGGCGGACGGGAUGAGAGUGGCGAACUGGUGAGUAACGCGUGGGUAAUCUGCCCUCAAGUCUGGGAUAGGCUUCCGAAAGGAGGUAUAAUACCGGAUGUGAUCGUGCCGUGCAUGCGGCACUCUUCAAAGGUGGGGAUCUUCGGACCUGCCGCUUGAGGAUGAACCCGCGACCUAUCAGCUUGUUGGUGAGGUAACGGCCCACCAAGGCAAAGACGGGUAGCUGGUCUGAGAGGAUGGUCAGCCACACUGGGACUGAGACACUGCCCAGACUCCUACGGGAGGCUGCAGUCGAGAAUCAUUCGCAAUGCACGAAAGUGUGACGAUGCGACGCCGCGUGGAGGAUGAAGGCCUUCGGGUUGUAAACUCCUGUCAUGAGGGAACAACGGCCCGGGUAUAAACAGUGCCCGGGUGUGAUGGUACCUCAAGAGGAAGCCACGGCUAACUCUGUGCCAGCAGCCGCGGUAAUACAGAGGUGGCGAGCGUUGUUCGGAUUUACUGGGCGUAAAGGGUGCGUAGGCGGCCGGGUAUGUCGGGUGUGAAAUCUCAUCGUCCAACGGUGAAACUGCACUCGAAACUGCCGGGCUAGAGUACAGGA